UCGGGGUUGUGUCGCAAAGCUCA
rnacentral:siRNA from 1 species